rnacentral:misc_RNA from 1 species
UAAUAAGUGUUUUAUGGCACUUUUUAAAUCCAUAUCCACCUUGUGUGCAAUGUCGGUCGAUCUUCUUCUUUGAGAUCGACCAAACAUCAACCUUUAUCUUUUAACUCUUUGUCUGAAAAAUAUUAUGAAUAAACAAUUCAAAAUA